UAUUAAGCAAAGAUGAAGAGGAGUAAAGUGGGAUAGUAUUAAGAGAGGAAGAUUCACCGGCUGAAAGGUCUUCCAUAUGAAUACACUUGAAGGUAGCUUCGGAGCUUCUUUAUUGAAAUUUAGUAAAUAAAGACGGGUCAAACCGUUAAAAAAAUGAGCCUGUUACAUUGCAGGAAAUAAAGGUGGUACCACGAGUCUUUCGUCCUUUUU
rnacentral:ncRNA from 1 species